rnacentral:rRNA from 1 species
UACGUAGGUUGCGAGCGUUAUUCGGAUUUACUGGGCGUAAAGAGCACCGAGGUGGCUUCUUAAGUUGGAUGUGAAAUCUCCUGGCUUAACCGGGAGGCGCCAUUCAAAACUGGGGAGCUUGAGGUCAGCAGGGGAAGGUGGAAUUCCCGGUGUAGUGGUGGAAUGCGUAGAGAUCGGGAGGAACACCAGUGGCGAAAGCGGCGCGCUGGACCUCUACUGACGCUGAGGCGCGAAAGCCAGGGGAGCAAACGGG